rnacentral:rRNA from 1 species
AACGAACGCUGGCGGCAGGCUUAACACAUGCAAGUCGAGCGCAUCCUUCGGGGUGAGCGGCAGACGGGUGAGUAACGCGUGGGAACGUACCCUUUCCUACGGAAUAGCUCCGGGAAACUGGAAUUAAUACCGUAUACGCCCUUAGGGGGAAAGAUUUAUCGGGGAAGGAUCGGCCCGCGUUGGAUUAGCUAGUUGGUGGGGUAAAGGCCUACCAAGGCGACGAUCCAUAGCUGGUCUGAGAGGAUGAUCAGCCACAUUGGGACUGAGACACGGCCCAAACUCCUACGGGAGGCAGCAGUGGGGAAUAUUGGACAAUGGGCGCAAGCCUGAUCCAGCCAUGCCGCGUGAGUGAUGAAGGCCUUAGGGUUGUAAAGCUCUUUCAGUAGGGAAGAUAAUGACGGUACCUACAGAAGAAGCCCCGGCUAACUUCGUGCCAGCAGCCGCCGCUG